rnacentral:rRNA from 1 species
AAAGAUGAUCUGGAGGUAUUAACUCCAACCCUUUGUGACCUUACCGUCGUUGCCUCGGCGUGAGCUACGGCUACCCGGGAGCUACCCUGGAGCUAUCCUAGAGUUACCCUAUAGCUACCCUGCAGCUACCCUAUACUUACCCUAUAGCUACCCUGCAGCUACCCUAUAGUUAGUUACCCUGGAGUUACCCUGGAGCUACCCUGUAGCCGGCUUAUGGCCCGCCGAAGGACAGCUAAACUCUUGUUUUUACCACUGUUUCUCUGAAUUACAAACUGAAAUAAGUUAAAACUUUCAACAACGGAUCUCUUGGUUCUGGCAUCGAUGAAGAACGCAGCGAAAUGCGAUAAGUAAUGUGAAUUGCAGAAUUCAGUGAAUCAUCGAAUCUUUGAACGCACAUUGCGCCCAUUAGUAUUCUAGUGGGCAUGCCUAUUCGAGCGUCAUUUCGACCCCUAAGCCCCUGUUGCUUAGCGUUGGGAAUCUACAGCGUAGUUCCUCAAAAUUAGUGGCGGAGUUAGGGUACACUCUCAGCGUAGUAAUUUCUCUCGCUCGUGUGGUGGCCUUGGCUGCUAGCCGUUAAAACCCCUAUAAUUUCUAGUGGUUGACCUCGGAUUAGGUAGGAAUACCCGCUGAACUUAAGCAUAUCAAUAAGC